rnacentral:rRNA from 1 species
AGAGUUUGAUCAUGGCUCAGAGUGAACGCUGGCGGCGUGCCUAACACAUGCAAGUCGAGCGGAGUAUUUGCUGUAGCAAUACAGUAAAUGCUCAGCGGCAGACGGGUGAGUAACACGUAGAUAACUUACCUCUUAGCGGGGGAUAGCCCGCCGAAAGGCGGGGUAAUACCGCGUACGAUCCGGCCCUGGCAUCGGGGCUUGAUGAAACAUCCGCAAGGAUGGCUGAGAGAAAGAUCUGCGGCCUAUCAGCUAGUUGGCGGGGUAACGGCCCACCAAGGCUACGACGGGUAUCCGACCUGAAAGGGUGACCGGACACACUGACACUGAGACACGGGUCAGACUCCUACGGGAGGCAGCAGUGAGGAAUUUUGGACAAUGGGGGAAACCCUGAUCCAGCGACGCCGCGUGAAGGAUGAAGGUCUUCGGAUUGUAAACUUCUUUUGUUUGGGACUAAGAAAUCUGUGGAAACACGGAGAGUGAAGGUACCAGACGAAUAAGCCACGGCUAACUUCGUGCCAGCAGCCGCGGUAAUACGAAGGUGGCAAGCGUUACUCGGAAUUACUAGGCGUAAAGGGCAGGUAGGUGGUUUGAUAAGUCUGUUGUGAAAGCUCCCGGCUUAACUGGGAGAGGUCAACAGAAACUAUCAGGCUUGAGUAUGGGAGAGGGUACUGGAAUUCCCGGUGUAGCGGUGAAAUGCGCAGAGAUCAGGAGGAACACCAAUGGCGAAAGCAGGUACCUGGACCAUUACUGACACUCAACUGCGAAAGCUAGGGGAGCAAACAGGAUUAGAUACCCUAGUAGUCC